rnacentral:rRNA from 1 species
GACGAGCGCUGGCGGCGUGCCUAAUGCAUGCCAGUCGCACGCGGCACCUUCGGGUGCUGAGUGGCGAACGGCUGAGGAACACGUGGGGACCUGUCCGGGAGUGGGGGACAACACCGCGAAAGCGGUGCUAAUCCCGCAUACGCUCUGAGGAGGAAAGCCGAAAGGCGCUCCCGGGUGGCCCUGCGGCCCAUCAGGUUGUUGGUGGGGUAACGGCCUACCAAGCCAAUGACGGGCCGCUGGUCUGUGAGGACGACCAGCCAGACUGGGACUGGGACACGGCCCAGACUCCUACGGGAGGCAGCAGCAAGGAAUUUUCGGCAAUGGGCGCAAGCCUGACCGAGCAACGCCGCGUGCAGGAAGACGGCCUUCGGGUUGUAAACUGCUUUUGCUAGGGAUGAUAACAGACAGUACCUGGCGAAUCAGCCCCGGCUAACUCUGUG